rnacentral:rRNA from 1 species
CCUACGGGAGGCAGCAGUGAGGAAUAUUGGUCAAUGGGCGUAAGCCUGAACCAGCCAAGUCGCGUGAGGGAUGAAGGUUCUAUGGAUCGUAAACCUCUUUUAUAAGGGAAUAAAGUGCGGGACGUGUCCCGUUUUGUAUGUACCUUAUGAAUAAGGAUCGGCUAACUCUGGGCCAGCAGCCGCGGUAAUACGGAGGAUCCGAGCGUUAUCCGGAUUUAUUGGGUUUAAAGGGUGCGUAGGCGGCCUUUUAAGUCAGCGGGGAAAGUCUGUGGCUCAACCAUGGAAUUGCCGUUGAAACUGGGAGGAUGGAGUAUGGUUGAGGCAGGCGGAAGGCGUGGUGUAGCGGUGAAAUGCGUAGAUAUCACGAAGAACCACGAUUGCGAAGGCAGCUUGCCAAGCGGUGACUGAAGCUGAUGCACGAAAGCGUGGGGAGCAAACAGGAUUAGAUACCCGUGUAGUC